rnacentral:lncRNA from 1 species
UGUUAACGUGUGUAUACUUAUUUUUCAAUUGAUACAUUUUAAUAAUAAUAGACAAAAAUAUUCUCAUAUAUUAUAAAUUCUAUGUUUUAUAGUCAAUGAUAUUUAAAUAAUUUUCAUUCUCAAAACUAAAAAAAACAAAAAAUCCUCAAACCCAUACUCACUUCUCUCAUUCCUCUCAAUCAUUUUUCCUCUCACUCCAACAUUUUCUCUGUUAUAUUUACUAUAGCCCCAA